rnacentral:rRNA from 1 species
UACAGAGGUCUCAAGCGUUGUUCGGAUUCAUUGGGCGUAAAGGGUGCGUAGGCGGCGCGGUAAGUCGGGUGUGAAAUCUCGGGGCUUAACUCCGAAACUGCAUUCGAUACUGCCGUGAUUGAGGACUGGAGAGGAGACUGGAAUUCCUGGUGUAGCGGUGAAAUGCGCAGAUAUCAGGAGGAACACCGGUGGCGAAGGCGGGUCUCUGGGCCGAUACUGACGCUGAGGAGCGAAAGCGUGGGGAGCGAACAGG